UACGUAGGGUGCGAGCGUUAAUCGGAAUUACUGGGCGUAAAGCGUGCGCAGGCGGUCGAUCAAGUCGCGUGUGAAAGCCCCCGGCUCAACUGGGGAGGGUCACGCGAUACUGAUCGACUCGAAGGCAGGAGAGGGUAGUGGAAUUCCCGGUGUAGUGGUGAAAUGCGUAGAUAUCGGGAGGAACACCAGUGGCGAAGGCGACUACCUGGCCUGUUCUUGACGCUGAGGCGCGAAAGCUAGGGGAGCAAACGGG
rnacentral:rRNA from 1 species